rnacentral:rRNA from 1 species
GUUUAAGCAGCCGCGGUAAUACAGAGGGUGCGAGCGUUAAUCGGAAUUACUGGGCGUAAAGCGCACGUAGUCGGCUUUGCAAGUCGGUUGUGAAAUCCCCGGGCUCAACCUGGGAACUGCAUCCGAGACUGCAUUGCUAGAGUAUGGGAGAGGAAAGCGGAAUUUCUGGUGUAGCAGUGAAAUGCGUAGAUAUCAGAAGGAACAGCAGUGGCGAAGGCGGCUUUCUGGACCAAUACUGACGAUCAGGUGCGAAAGCGUGGGGAGCAAACAGGAUUAGAAACCCGGGUAGUCC